GCCAGCAUGUUGUAGUGGUUUGAACAUUGGACUACAACUCUGGAGAUCAGGGUUCGAUUCCCUGGUCAGGCG